rnacentral:sRNA from 1 species
GAGAGCAAGUGAGAACCAACACCGAUGCAAAUCAUUUUGUUGGCUGUACGCCAGCACGCAGCGUUCAAAUCAGCAGAGAAUAAAACAAGUUAGUGUACAAAAAGAAGCAGGAGCUGUGCACAAACUGCGCCGACCAAACGCAACUGGCCACGCCACUGCGAGGGCAACAACAAGAACAACUGGC